ACCAAGCUGGCUCAGUUAGUAGAGCAUGGCACUCUUAUUCUCAGGAUUAUGGGUUUGAGCCCCAUGCUGGGUG